GGUCUGGGCUGUUUCCCUUUCGAACACGGACCUUAUCACCCAUGUUCUGACUCCCAAGUUAAAUUAAUUGGCAUUCGGAGUUUGUCUGAAUUCGGUAACCCGAGAGGGGCCCCUCGUUUGUGGGUGGGUUGACGGUAGCUGGAUAAGAAGCGCCGGCUAACUACGUGCCAGCAGCCGCGGUAAUACGUAGGGCGCGAGCGUUGUCCGGAAUUAUUGGGCGUAAAGAGCUCGUAGGCGGCUGGUCGCGUCUGUCGUGAAAUCCUCUGGCU
rnacentral:rRNA from 1 species